rnacentral:rRNA from 1 species
GACGAACCGUCCAAACGUUAUUCGGAAUCACUGGGCUUAAAGGGUGCGUAGGCGGCGCGGAAAGUUGGGUGUGAAAUACCUCGGCUCACCCGUGGAACUGCCCGGCAUACUGCGAUGCUAGAGUGUGGUAGGGGAGAGCGGAACUCCUGGUGGAGCGGUGAAAUGCGUAGAUAUCAGGAGGAACACCGGUGGCGAAGGCGGCUCUCUGGUCCACAACUGACGCUGAGGUGCGAAAGCUAGGGGAGCAAACGGG